rnacentral:rRNA from 1 species
UACCCGCAGCACAAGUGGUGGUCAUUAUUAUUGGGCCUAAAGCGUCCGUAGCUGGCUUGUUAGAUGCCUGGGUAAAUCGAUGCGCUCAACGCAUCGAACUCCGGGUAGACCGGCAAGCUUGGGACCGGGAGAGGCGUGAGCUACUCGAGGGGUAGGGGUAAAAUCCUGUAAUCCUUCGGGGAGGACCAGUGGCGAAGGCGUCACGCUAGAACGGCUCUGACAGUGAGGGACGAAGCCCUGGGGCGCAAACCGG